GAUGAACGCUGGCGGCGUGCCUAAUACAUGCAAGUCGAGCGAACAGACGCGGAGCUUGCUCCUCUGACGUUAGCGGCGGACGGGUGAGUAACACGUGGAUAACCUACCUAUAAGACUGGGAUAACUUCGGGAAACCGGAGCUAAUACCGGAUAAUAUAUUGAACCGCAUGGUUCAAUAGUGAAAGACGGUUUUGCUGUCACUUAUAGAUGGAUCCGCGCCGCAUUAGAUAGUUGGUAAGGUAACGGCUUACCAAGGCAACGAUGCGUAGCCGACCUGCGAGAGGGGUAGCCGACAUGAGAGUGGGACCGGCGACAAUACGCCUGAGGGAGGCAGCAGAAUGGAAUGUGCGGCAGUGGUCGAAAGCUUGACAGAGCAACGCGACGUGAGAGAUAAAGAUGUUCGGAGCGUAAAACUCGGUUAUGAGUGAUAAACAAAUUUCGAAGUAGCUAAACACGGCGUGACGGUACCGAAUAAAAAAGCAACGGCUAACUACGUG
rnacentral:rRNA from 1 species